rnacentral:rRNA from 1 species
GGCGGUAGGCCUAACACAUGCAAGUCGAACGAGUGGCGGACGGGUGAGGAAUACAUCGGAAUCUACUCUGUCGUGGGGGAUAACGUAGGGAAACUUACGCUAAUACUGCAUACGAUUGAAUGAGCCGAUGUCGGAUUAGCUAGUUGGCGGGGUAAAGGCCCACCAAGGCGACGAUCCGUAGCUGGUCUGAGAGGAUGAUCAGCCACACUGGAACUGAGACACGGUCCAGACUCCUACGGGAGGCAGCAGUGGGGAAUAUUGGACAAUGGGCGCAAGCCUGAUCCAGCCAUACCGCGUGGGUGAAGAAGGCCUUCGGGUUGUAAAGCCCUUUUGUUGGGAAAGCGGUACCCAAAGAAUAAGCACCGGCUAACUUCGUGCCAGCAGCCGCGGUAAUACGAAGGGUGCAAGCGUUACUCGGAAUUACUGGGCGUAAAGCGUGCGUAGGUGGUCGUUUAAGUCCGUUGUGAAAGCCCUGGGCUCAACCUGGGAACUGCAGUGGAUACUGGACGACUAGAGUGUGGUAGAGGGUAGCGGAAUUCCUGGUGUAGCAGUGAAAUGCGUAGAGAUC